UGGGGAAUUUUGGACAAUGGGCGAAAGCCUGAUCCAGCAAUGCCGCGUGUGUGAAGAAGGCCUUCGGGUUGUAAAGCACUUUUGUCCGGAAAGAAAUCCUUGGCUCUAAUACAGUCGGGGGGUGACGGUACCGGAAGAAUAAGCACCGGCUAACUACGUGCCAGCAGCCGCGGUAAUACGUAGGGUGCAAGCGUUAAUCGGAAUUACUGGGCGUAAAGCGUGCGCAGGCGGUUUGCUAAGACCGAUGUGAAAUCCCCGGGCUCAACCUGGGAACUGCAUUGGUGACUGGCAGGCUAGAGUAUGGCAGAGGGGGGUAGAAUUCCACGUGUAGCAGUGAAAUGCGUAGAGAUGUGGAGGAAUACCGAUGGCGAAGGCAGCCCCCUGGGCCAAUACUGACGCUCAUGCACGAAAGCGUGGGGAGCAAACAGGAUUAGAUACCCUGGUAGUCCACGCCCUAAACGAUGUCAACUAGUUGUUGGGGGAUUCAUUUCCUUAGUAACGUAGCUAACGCGUGAAGUUGACCGCCUGGGGAGUACGGUCGCAAGAUUAAAACUCAAAUGAAUUGACGGGGUCAUAGCUGUUUCCU
rnacentral:rRNA from 1 species